rnacentral:lncRNA from 1 species
AAACAAAAGCAUAGUACCAGCAUCUGCUGGUGAGGACCUCAGGAGGCUUCCACUCAUGGCGGAAGGUGAAGGAGGAGCCGGCAUGUCACUUGUUGAGAAGAAGGAGCAACGGAGAGAGGAGGAGAACCACCUAAGCUAAAGAUUCUUUUGAGAACAAGGGCUAGCCUGUGGUUUCAUGGCCUUUCUUCCAUUUGGGGUUCUUGCCAAGUGGAAUUUAAAUGACCUCUUAUCAAGAUGGAUAAACCCAAGUUUCCCAGUGCUGGAAUACAGAAAAUGGAUGGACAAGAUGUCUUUUUGUCACUUCCAGCUGGAUCUACCAUGAAAGACGUCAGAGUCCAGGAAGAGAGACUGACUGGGCAACAUGUUAUUCAGAAUUAGAGAAGAUGAUGUGGUGAUGGAAGAAGAGGUCAGAGAGGGAGAUUUGAAGAUGUUGCAGUUCUGGCCUUCAAGAUGGAGUCAGGGGCUAUCUUCAAGAGAGAAGAUCUUGAUCUGUGGCCCAGGCUGCAGUACAGU